UCCUCUUAUACUCUGCACUUUUCAGGUGAGACUUCUGUUGUUUCAGGAAUCACUGAGAAGAAACAUUGAGGCUGGGGAUUGACAACAGCCAGGGCUGUUCAUGCAAUGACCAAGGAAGAAGUUGAGCAUGGACAAUGGAGAAGUUUUUGUUAAGAAACAAGCAAAAUGUUUUCUCCCUGAAGAAGAAAGAGGAGGAUGAAGCAGCAGAAGACAAUGUGGAAAGAAAACAGGCAGAACAAAAGGAAGUUUCACAGAUAAAGAUGUUUGGAAAUCUUAAAGUAAACAAAUAAAUAAAUCAACCAAACCCAAAAGCCAUCAAUAUCAAGAACUUCAAGGCUUGUAAAUUAGCACAACUCACUGAGAAGCUCUUCUGGUCUAUGGUCCUGCAUCAGAUAUUUCUGCAGCUUUGGAAUGAUGCAAGCUAUGGGGAAAAAAAGUAACAUAUUGAUGCAUAAGCC
rnacentral:lncRNA from 1 species